rnacentral:rRNA from 1 species
AUUGAACGCUGGCGGCAGGCCUAACACAUGCAAGUCGAACGAGUGGCGGAGGGGUGAGUAAUGUCUGGGUAACUGCCUGAUGGAGGGGGAAAACUACUGGAAACGGUCGAUAAUCCCGCAUCCACUCGGCUGUGCCCAUAUGGGAUUAGCUUGUAGGGGGGGUAAAGGCUCACCUAGGCGAAGAUCCCUAGCUGGUCUGAGAGGAUGAACAGCCACACUGGGACUGAGACACGGCACAGACUCCUACGGGAGGCAGCAGUGGGGAAUAUUGCACAAUGGGCGCAAGCCUGAUGCAGCCAUGCCGCGUGUAUGAAGAAGGCCUUAGGGUUGUAAAGUACUUUCAGUGGGGAGGCGUUACCGGCAGAAGAAGCACCGGCUAACUCCGUGCCAGCAGCCGCGGUAAUAC